rnacentral:rRNA from 1 species
CGGCGGACGGGUGAGUAAUGUCUGGGAAACUGCCUGAUGGAGGGGGAUAACUACUGGAAACGGUAGCUAAUACCGCAUAACGUCUCCGGACCAAAGUGGGGGACCUUCGGGCCUCACACCAUCGGAUGUGCCCAGAUGGGAUUAGCUUGUAGGUGGGGUAAUGGCUCACCUAGGCGACGAUCCCUAGCUGGUCUGAGAGGAUGACCAGCCACACUGGAACUGAGACACGGUCCAGACUCCUACGGGAGGCAGCAGUA